rnacentral:rRNA from 1 species
AGUGAACGCUGGCGGUAGGCCUAACACAUGCAAGUCGAACGGCAGCACAGUAAGAGCUUGCUCUUACGGGUGGCGAGUGGCGGACGAGUGAGGAAUACAUCGGAAUCUACUUUUUCGUGGGGGAUAACGUAGGGAAACUUACGCUAAUACCGCAUACGACCUACGGGUGAAAGCAGGGGAUCUUCGGCCCUUGCGCGAUUGAAUGAGCCGAUGUCGGAUUAGCUAGUUGGCGGGGUAAAGGCCCACCAAGGCGACGAUCCGUAGCUGGUCUGAGAGGAUGAUCAGCCACACUGGAACUGAGACACGGUCCAGACUCCUAUGGGAGGCAGCAGUGGGGAAUAUUGGACAAUGGGCGCAAGCCUGAUCCAGCCAUACCGCGUGGGUGAAGAAGGCCUUCGGGUUGUAAAGCCCUUUUGUUGGGAAAGAAAAGCAGCAGGUUAAUACCCCGCUGUUCUGACGGUACCCAAAGAAUAAGCACCGGCUAACUUCGUG